rnacentral:rRNA from 1 species
GAUGAACGCUGGCGGCGUGCCUAAUACAUGCAAGUCGAGCGAACGGACGAGAAGCUUGCUUCUCUGAUGUUAGCGGCGGACGGGUGAGUAACACGUGGAUAACCUACCUAUAAGACUGGGAUAACUUCGGGAAACCGGAGCUAAUACCGGAUGAUAUUUUGAACCGCAUGGUUCAAAAGUGAAAGACGGUCUUGCUGUCACUUAUAGAUGGAUCCGCGCUGCAUUAGCUAGUUGGUAAGGUAACGGCUUACCAAGGCAACGAUGCAUAGCCGACCUGAGAGGGUGAUCGGCCACACUGGAACUGAGACACGGUCCAGACUCCUACGGGAGGCAGCAGUAGGGAAUCUUCCGCAAUGGGCGAAAGCCUGACGGAGCAACGCCGCGUGAGUGAUGAAGGUCUUCGGAUCGUAAAACUCUGUUAUUAGGGAAGAACAUAUGUGUAAGUAACUGUGCACAUCUUGACGGUACCUAAUCAGAAAGCCACGGCUAACUACGUGCCGGCAGCCGCGGUAAUACGUAGGUGGCAAGCGUUAUCCGGAAUUAUUGGGCGCAAAGCGCGCGUAGGCGGUUUUUUAAGUCUGAUGUGAAAGCCCACGGCUCAACCGUGGAGGGUCAUUGGAAACUGGAAAACUUGAGUGCAGAAGAGGAAAGUGGAAUUCCAUGUGUAGCGGUGAAAUGCGCAGAGAUAUGGAGGAACACCAGUGGCGAAGGCGACUUUCUGGUCUGUAACUGACGCUGAUGUGCGAAAGCGUGGGGAUCAAACAGGAUUAGAUACCCUGGUAGUCCACGCCGUAAACGAUGAGUGCUAAGUGUUAGGGGGUUUCCGCCCCUUAGUGCUGCAGCUAACGCAUUAAGCACUCCGCCUGGGGAGUACGACCGCAAGGUUGAAACUCAAAGGAAUUGACGGGGACCCGCACAAGCGGUGGAGCAUGUGGUUUAAUUCGAAGCAACGCGAAGAACCUUACCAAAUCUUGACAUCCUUUGACAACUCUAGAGAUAGAGCCUUCCCCUUCGGGGGACAAAGUGACAGGUGGUGCAUGGUUGUCGUCAGCUCGUGUCGUGAGAUGUUGGGUUAAGUCCCGCAACGAGCGCAACCCUUAAGCUUAGUUGCCAUCAUUAAGUUGGGCACUCUAAGUUGACUGCCGGUGACAAACCGGAGGAAGGUGGGGAUGACGUCAAAUCAUCAUGCCCCUUAUGAUUUGGGCUACACACGUGCUACAAUGGACAAUACAAAGGGCAGCGAAACCGCGAGGUCAAGCAAAUCCCAUAAAGUUGUUCUCAGUUCGGAUUGUAGUCUGCAACUCGACUACAUGAAGCUGGAAUCGCUAGUAAUCGUAGAUCAGCAUGCUACGGUGAAUACGUUCCCGGGUCU